UGAUUAGAAGCUUGCUUCUAUGACGUUAGCGGCGGACGGGGAGAAACACGUGGGCAACCUGCCUGUAAGACUGGGAUAACUCCGGGAAACCGGAGCUAAUACCGGAUAACAUUUUCUCUUGCAUAAGAGAAAAUUGAAAGAUGGUUUCGGCUAUCACUUACAGAUGGGCCCGCGGUGCAUUAGCUAGUUGGUGAGGUAACGGCUCACCAAGGCAACGAUGCAUAGCCGACCUGAGAGGGUGAUCGGCCACACUGGGACUGAGACACGGCCCAGACUCCUACGGGAGGCAGCAGUAGGGAAUCUUCCGCAAUGGACGAAAGUCUGACGGAGCAACGCCGCGUGAGUGAUGAAGGCUUUCGGGUCGUAAAACUCUGUUGUUAGGGAAGAACAAGUACAAGAGUAACUGCUUGUACCUUGACGGUACCUAACCAGAAAGCCACGGCUAACUACGUGCCAGCAGCCGCGGUAAUACGUAGGUGGCAAGCGUUAUCCGGAAUUAUUGGGCGUAAAGCGCGCGCAGGCGGUUUCUUAAGUCUGAUGUGAAAGCCCACGGCUCAACCGUGGAGGGUCAUUGGAAACUGGGGGAACUUGAGUGCAGAAGAGAAAAGCGGAAUUCCACGUGUAGCGGUGAAAUGCGUAGAGAUGUGGAGGAACACCAGUGGCGAAGCGGCUUUUUUGGUCUGUAACUGACGCUGAGGCGCGAAAGC
rnacentral:rRNA from 2 species